CGCGUGAGUAACCUGCCUUGGAGUGGGGAAUAACAGCUGGAAACAGCUGCUAAUACCGCAUAAAACGUCUGUGUCGCAUGGCACUGGACGUCAAAGAUUUAUCGCUCUGAGAUGGACUCGCGUCUGAUUAGCUAGUUGGUGGGGCAACGGCCCACCAAGGCGACGAUCAGUAGCCGGACUGAGAGGUUGGCCGGCCACAUUGGGACUGAGACACGGCCCAGACUCCUACGGGAGGCAGCAG
rnacentral:rRNA from 1 species